UACGAAGGGUGCAAACGUUGCUCGGAAUUAUUGGGCGUAAAGCGCACGUAGGCGGCUUUGCAAGUCCCAUGUGAAAUCCCACGGCUCAACCGUGGAAGUGCAUGGGAAACUGCAGAGCUUGAGUACUUAAGAGGAUCGCGGAAUUCCCGGUAUAGAGGUGAAAUUCGUAGAUAUCGGGAGGAACACCAGUGGCGAAGGCGGCGAUCUGGGAAGAUACUGACGCUGAGGUGCGAAAGCGUGGGGAGCAAACAGG
rnacentral:rRNA from 1 species